UACGUAGGGUCCGAGCGUUGUCCGGAGUUACUGGGCGUAAAGCGCGCGCAGGCGGCGACGCCAGCCCGGCGUGAAAGCCCCCGGCUCAACCGGGGAGGGUCGUCGGGGACGACGUCGCUUGAGGACGGCAGGGGCCGGUGGAAUGCCCGGUGUAGUGGUGAAAUGCGUAGAGAUCGGGCAGAACACCCGUGGCGAAGGCGGCCGGCUGGGCCGAUCCUGACGCUGAGGCGCGAAGGCGUGGGGAGCGAACGGGAUUAGAUACCCCGGUAGUCCACGCAGUAAACGAUGCCGACUAGGCGUGGGGGGACUUGACCCCCUCCGUGCCGGAGCCAACGCGGGAAGUCGGCCGCCUGGGGAGUACGGCCGCAAGGCUAAA
rnacentral:rRNA from 1 species